rnacentral:lncRNA from 10 species
UGACUCUUAAGCAUACAAUAAAUUGGGGAGUGAAACGCCAUGGGCCCAGGUUUGGAUGGGAGUCACGGGGUAGCCAGUGCUCUGGAUCUGCCCUAAGAACACAACAGAAACUAGGACAUCACCACAGUGGGACCCAGAGUUAAAAGGCCCUUUGGAUCAUCUGGUCUACUAUAUGUGGCUACUGUGGCUGGGACUGGGACAGGGGCAGGGCCUCAUUCUCAAGGUCACACAGGGACAGGGAAGCAGAGCUGGGAUGAGCACCCAGGGCUGCUGGCCUUGCUGCUGGCCAGGGCUCUGUUUGCUAAAUGGGGACUCUGCCAGAUACAUUUGGAGAGCCCAAUGUGGGAGGAGAGACCAAGCUCAUGGCCACGUCCUCUGCCUGCCCCAAUCUUACCCUCUUUUCCCAAGAGGGUGUUGCCCUUCUUUUGCCAUUUCUGGGCCUCCUCCCAUCCCAUCCACAUCAUUCCACCCUUCCCACUCCCACUGGAGUCCUGCUAUACCUUGCUCCUGGAACCCCUUUCUCUGUCCUUAGCAUCUCCAAAUGGACUGGACUCCGCAAGCAAGCACUCUGCAGUGGACCCCUUGGGUCAUCCAUUCUGAUGGAAACAGUGAGUGGAAUUAAUCCUAAGUCUGUGAAUUUGGGCAGCUCAUCGACUCUCUCAGCUUUAUCCUCACCGGCUCAAGAAUUCCAGCCUGGUGGAGUGGAGAAGGCUCCAGGAGGGCGUCGGGCCCAACCACCUUUUGUUAUGGAGCACAGAGAGGGAUACUGCUAUGGUCAC